GAAGUGGUAGCUCAGUGGUAGAACCCUCGCUUUCCAUGCAAGAGACUCAGGAUCGAUUCUUGGCCAAUGCA
rnacentral:tRNA from 1 species